GCCGGUCAAACUCUCCAGAGGCACCUCCAUCAGAUUCUGGGCCACCUGGAAUAUGUUUUCCCGUACGUCGACGACUUAUGCAUCGGCUCCGCCAGCAUCGAAGAGCAUAAACAGCAUCUGCGUCAAGUAUUCCAGAUCCUGAGGGAAAACAACCUGACCAUCAACGCCAGCAAAUGCCAAAUCGGGAAAUCUGAGGUGAAAUUCCUGGGUCAUCUCAUCACUCCCGAGGGCAUCAAACCAAACCCGAGCAAGGUCGAAGCUGUGCUAAAUUUUCCUCAACCUCCCUGUCAGGAACGUUUGCUCAAUCGGGCCGAUUGCAAAACAGACAUGGCGGUACUCGAAUUCUAGCGGUUAGAAUUCGGUCGGUUAUCGGCUCGAUUUCCAUCCGCCUGCUCGAUUGCUCGAAAACAGACGAUAUUUAUCGCAGUGCUGCAUGAACAAAACGAAACACAGGCAGUUUUCAAUCGCAGCAAUAUGGGUGCGUGUUUCGUUUUGGUGCGUGAUUGUUGUGAAUUGUGUUGUGAAAUUUGGUCGCAGUUCUGUUUCUGCCGUUUCCGCUGUUUCUUUUCAGAAAUGCUUUUAGCGGUAUGUAGAAGAAGCCAUUGUCCGGCGAUAAUUUAAUAAAAAGCGAGGUAUGUUUGAUUGAUUGAAUUCUAAAUAAUCAAGUUUUAUUUAUAUCAUUUUCUAACCCUUAGUUGUCCCCAUAGAAAACAUCCCGAAUAGAAAAACAUUAUGAAAACACCAUGAAUUUCAUUUUCACGCAACCAUGAAUUUUAUGGUUGAAACUAUGCGAAUCAUGGUACAUGAAACCAUGAAUGGACUUUAAAAUUCAUAUUUUUAAACAGUGAAAUUUAUGGUUCUAGCAAAAUUUACCAUGAAAAAAGGGGGUUGUUAAGCAACUUAGGGCAUCCGCAGCAAUUGCGAGCAAAGUGAAAAUGCUCACGAGUUUAAUCACUUCCAUACCGCACCGGGGGUUAAUAUGAAGGUGAGCAAAAUAGGGCCGAUGCCGUCGGGACCGACAAAAUCACCAAAUUUGCUCACUAGAAAGGGGCGAGAGCAAACAUGCACUGAAAAAAUUCUACCGUUUUGAGCAGAAUUAAACAAACGAUGUCGCAGCGUGUAGAUGUUUGUUGAUAUUUAUUUUAAGAAAAAAAUUGUAUCAGCUUAAAAUUGUGGAUGGUUUUUCUUGUAAUAACUGCAGUUAAAUUCGCAAUUUCGUUACAUUUUUUCGGGGUUUUCCAGGAAUUGAACGAGAAAGUGUAAAUGCUGGUUCUGAUGAUAAACAAACUUGAAGCAUCGUAAUUUGUGACCAAAAAUGGUCACUCGGAGUUUCUCGGAGUAAUAAUAAUCGAGACCAGUGCGCUGUGCAGGAUUUUUGUAUCCAACCGGCCGAUAUGGGUGGCAUUCCAGUACUGUCCCUACCGAUUCGGCUUUCGGAACGAGGUCCAAUAAGUUUGCAACUAAUGGGACCCAGUUUUUCGGAGCAGCAAUUAUUUCAAUCAGCACGUUGGAUAGAAAAAGAAGUUGAAGAUUUUUUAGAAAAAUAAACAAACUUGAAGCAUCGUAAUUUGUGACCAAAAAUGGUCACUCGGAGUUUCUCGGAGUAAUAAUAAUCGAGACCAGUGCGCUGUGCAGGAUUUUUGUAUCCAACCAGCCGAUAUGGGUGGCAUUCCAGUACUGUCCCUACCGAUUCGGCUUUCGGAACGAGGUCCAAUAAGUUUGCAACUAAUGGGACCCAGUUUUUCGGAGCAGCAAUUAUUUCAAUCAGCACGUUGGAUAGAAAAAGAAGUUGAAGAUUUUUUAGAAAAGUAUGAUUUUAAUAUAAAUAUAAUAAACAAAUAAAGUUGAAUUUUAGUUGAAUUGUUUGGUUUGUUAAAUUUUGUUUUUCGGGUCCAUUUGUUAGGAAAU